UACGGGGGGGGCAAGCGUUGUCCGGAAUCAUUGGGCGUAAAGCGCGCGUAGGCGGCCCUGUAAGUCCGUUGUGAAAGUCAAAGGCUCAACCUUUGAAAGCCGAUGGAUACUGCAGGGCUAGAGUCCGGAAGAGGCGAGUGGAAUUCCUGGUGUAGCGGUGGAAUGCGCAGAUAUCAGGAGGAACACCAAUAGCGAAGGCAGCUCGCUGGGACGGUACUGACGCUAAGGCGCGAAAGCGUGGGGAGCGAUCAGG
rnacentral:rRNA from 1 species